rnacentral:rRNA from 1 species
GGCGAUCAGAUACCGCCCUAGUUCUGACCGUAAACGAUGCCAACUAGUGAUCCGCCGGUGGAAUUUUUGCCCUGGUGGGGAACUUCCCGGAAACGAAAGUCUUCCGGUUCCGGGGGAAGUAUGGUUGCAAAGCUGAAACUUAAAGGAAUUGACGGAAGGGCACCACCAGGAGUGGAGCCUGCGGCUUAAUUUGACUCAACACGGGGAAACUCACCCGGCCCGGACACCGUAAGGAUUGACAGAUUGAUAGCUUUUUCAUGAUUCGGUGGAUGGUGGUGCAUGGCCGUUCUUAGUUCGUGGAGCGAUUUGUCUGGUUUAUUCCGAUAACGAGCGAGACUCUAGCCUACUAACUAGUCCGCAGAUUGCCUCUGUUUGCGCGACUUCUUAGAGGGAUUUUCGGUGUACAGCCGCACGAAAUUGAGCAAUAACAGGUCUGUGAUGCCCUUAGAUGUCCGGGGCUGCACGCGCGCUACACUGGCAAAAUCAGCGUGCUUGUCCUUCCCCGAAAGGGGUUGGUAAACCCUUGAAAAUUUGCCGUGAUUGGGAUCGGAAAUUGCAAUUAUUUUCCGUGAACGAGGAAUUCCAAGUAAGUGCGAGUCAUCAACUCGCGUUGAUUACGUCCCUGCCCUUUGUA